rnacentral:rRNA from 1 species
AUACAGAGGGUGCAAGCGUUAAUCGGAAUUACUGGGCGUAAAGCGCGCGUAGGCGGUUUGUUAAGUCGGAUGUGAAAUCCCCGGGCUCAACCUGGGAACUGCAUUCGAAACUGGCGAGCUAGAGUAUGGUAGAGGAUAGUGGAAUUCCGGGUGUAGCGGUGAAAUGCGUAGAUAUCCGGAGGAACAUCAGUGGCGAAGGCGGCUAUCUGGACCAAUACUGACGCUGAGGUGCGAAAGCGUGGGGAGCAAACAGGAUUAGAAACCCUAGUAGUCC